rnacentral:rRNA from 2 species
AGUUGUUGCUGGUUCUCUAGGGAGCAUGUGCACACUUGUCAUCUUUGUAUCUUCACCUGUGCACCUUUUGUAGACCUUGGGUAUCUCUCUGAUUGCUUAGCACUCAGGAUUGAGGAUUGACUUGUUGUCUCUUCUUACAUUUCCAGGUCUAUGUUUCUUCAUAUACCCUAAUGUAUGUUUAUAGAAUGUAAUUAAUGGGCCUUUGUGCCUAUAAAUCUAUACAACUUUCAGCAACGGAUCUCUUGGCUCUCGCAUCGAUGAAGAACGCAGCGAAAUGCGAUAAGUAAUGUGAAUUGCAGAAUUCAGUGAAUCAUCGAAUCUUUGAACGCACCUUGCGCUCCUUGGUAUUCCGAGGAGCAUGCCUGUUUGAGUGUCAUUAAUAUAUAUCAACCUCUUUGGUUGGAUGUGGGUUUGCUGGCCUCUUGAGGUCAGCUCCUCUUAAAUGCAUUAGCGGACAACAUUUUGCCAAGUGUUCAUUGGUGUGAUAAUUAUCUACGCUAUUGACAUGAAGCAGGCUCAGCUUCUAACAGUCCAUUGACUUGGACAAAUUUUAUUAAUGUGACCUCAAAUCAGGUAGGACUACCCGCUGAACUUAAGCAUAUCAAUAAGCGGAGGAAAAGAAACUAACAAGGAUUCCCCUAGUAACUGCGAGUGAAGCGGGAAAAGCUCAAAUUUAAAAUCUGGCAGUCUUUGGCUGUCCGAGUUGUAAUCUAGAGAAGCAUUAUCCGCGCUGGACCGUGUACAAAGUCA